AAGAAAGCAUGAAAGGUCGGGGGAAAUUUUUUCCUUCUUAUAUUAAAGACAGUACAAGGACCGGUCUUUCCUAAAUGAAAACUUAAAUAUGAGUCAAUAUUGAUUAUUAUGUCCAAUUAAGAUAGCUUUUUGUGUUUAUAUAUUCUUUCAAUGAAUUAAUCUCUAUAUAAAGAGGAUUAUCAAUGGCAUUAAUUUUUCUUAAAACACUUGGUUUCAUAUUCAGUAAUUUUAUUUAAUUUUUUCCAGGUGACAAGAAAUUUCUUCAGGGACUGGUCUUUGUGGAAAAUCUUCCUGGCUUGCCUCUUAGCCUGUCUGAUAACAACAGCAAUUGGAGUACUCAUAGUGAGUCUGGUGUAUAGUGGGAAAAAUAAUAAGGGGACCAUUGUUAUCCAACUUCCACAAAACCAAGAGACAACCUCAUCUACAACCGGACCAACCUCAUCUACGAGUUCUACAGCAGCAGCCACCACUACCAUUUCCACCGAAACUACAACCACCACAAGAGCCAGCACUUCAACAGAACAGACUACCACCCCAACUGCCAGCUCUACCACUGAGGCUACCACCACAACACCGACCACUUCAACUGAACAGACUACCACACCAACUGCCAGCACUACCACUGCGGCUACAACCACAACAGCCACCACUUCAAUGGAACAGACUACCACACCAACUGCCAGCACUACCACUGAGGCUACUACUGCAACAGCCACCACUACCAUUUCCACCGAAACUACAACCACCACAGCAGCCAUCACUUCAACUGAACCAACUACCACAAUGACUACCAGCAGUACUACUGAGGCCACAACAACCACGACUUUAAUGGAACCUAGUACCACACCAACUUCUAGCCCUACCACAGAGGUUACAACCACAACAGCCACCACUACUGCUCCCACAGAAUCUACAACCACAAUAGCCACUACAUCAACUGAACAGACUACCACACCAACUACCAGCACUACCACUGAGACUACCACUGCAACAGCCACCACUUCAACAGAACUGACUACCACACCAACUACCAGCACUACCACUGAGGCUACUACUGCAACAGCCACCACUACCAUUUCCACUGAAACUACAACUACCACAGCAGCCACCACUUCUACUGAGCAGACUACCAUACCAACUGUCAGCAGUACCACUGAGGCUACAACCACAACAGCCACCACUUCCACGGAACAGACUACCACACCAACUUCUGGCACUACCACUGAGGCUACCACAACAAUAGCCAGUACUUCAACUGAACAGACUACCACACAAACUACCAGUACUACCACUGAGGAUACCACCACAGCAGCCACCACUACAACAGAACUGCCUACCACACCAACUUCUGGCACUACCAC
rnacentral:lncRNA from 1 species